rnacentral:rRNA from 1 species
UCAGAGCGAACGCUGGCGGCAGGCCUAACACAUGCAAGUCGAGCGCACUCUUCGGAGUGAGCGGCGGACGGGUUAGUAACGCGUGGGAACAUACCCUUCUCUACGGAAUAGCCUCGGGAAACUGAGAGUAAUACCGUAUACGCCCUUCGGGGGAAAGAUUUAUCGGAGAUGGAUUGGCCCGCGUUAGAUUAGAUAGUUGGUGGGGUAAUGGCCUACCAAGUCUACGAUCUAUAGCUGGUUUGAGAGGAUGAUCAGCAACACUGGGACUGAGACACGGCCCAGACUCCUACGGGAGGCAGCAGUGGGGAAUCUUAGACAAUGGGCGCAAGCCUGAUCUAGCCAUGCCGCGUGAGUGACGAAGGCCUUAGGGUCGUAAAGUCUUUCGCC